rnacentral:lncRNA from 1 species
AGACUGCUGUGCUAGCAAUCAGCGAGACUCCGUGGGCGUAGGACCCUCCGAGCCAGGCAUCAGCUAUCAAAACUUAUGGGAAAUGGAAUUGAAGACAACUACUUCUAGAAUUGGUGCAUGGAAGCUUCUCAUAGGUGAUUAGCCACACUCUUCUUCUGUCAACCUGGUGCAGAAAAGCUUGAAGACCUUGGAAAUCACAUAUUGAUGAUGGAGGAGAUACAAGAAUGAAGGACCCUGGGUUCCUGAAUCAACACUCUAAGAAGAGACUCCUUGAAAUCAAGAGCACUCAUUUUGACAUUGCAAACGGAAAAAUUCACUUCUAUCAGGGGACUGAUCGGAGUCAAACCAUAUGCUGUGGCUUUUGCUCCAUGGAAAUCUCAACUAUACUGCAAGAAUAAUUAUUCCUACUUAAUGAAGUUACAGAAGAGAAUGUGGUGCUGGACGGUACUGACUGCAUGGGGAGAGGCCAUACCACAGAAACCUCAAUCUGCCUGAGCCGUGACUCUGAGAGCUGGAGUACCACUGGACAAGGAGAGUAUGAGAGGAAAAAGCAGCUGACAAACAUACUAAGAAGAAAACAUCUGAAAUUUUAAUGAAUUUUUAAAGAUUAAAUACUGUUGAUAUCUGCUUUCCAAUAUUGCAGCAGUUUUCAAAACUGGAUAUUCCAAACACUUUGAAGAAUUUUAGCCACUUCCUG